rnacentral:rRNA from 1 species
UACGUAGGGUCCAAGCGUUAUCCGGAAUCACUGGGCGUAAAGCGUACGUAGGCGGAUGUUCACGUGUAAUGCGAAAUCUUGUGGCUCAACCAUAUAGACUGUAUUACAUACGGGACGUCUAGAGGACGGCAGAGGCAAGUGGAAUUAGUAGUGUAGCAGUGAAAUGCGUAGAGAUUACUAGGAAUACCAAUGGCGAAGGCAGCUUGCUGGGCCGUAUCUGACGCUGAGGUACGAAAGCGUGGGGGAGCGAACAGG